rnacentral:rRNA from 1 species
AUUGAACGCUGGCGGCAGGCCUAACACAUGCAAGUCGAGCGGAUGAAGGGAGCUUGCUCCUGGAUUCAGCGGCGGACGGGUGAGUAAUGCCUAGGAAUCUGCCUGGUAGUGGGGGAUAACGUCCGGAAACGGGCGCUAAUACCGCAUACGUCCUGAGGGAGAAAGUGGGGGAUCUUCGGACCUCACGCUAUCAGAUGAGCCUAGGUCGGAUUAGCUAGUUGGUGGGGUAAAGGCCUACCAAGGCGACGAUCCGUAACUGGUCUGAGAGGAUGAUCAGUCAAACUGAAACUGGGAAACGGUCCAGACUCCACGGGGAGCAGGCGGUGGGAAUUAUUGGACAUGGGGCGAAGGCCUGAUCCAGCCAGGCGGGUGGUGUGAGGAGGGUCCUCGGAUGGUAAAGCCCUUUAAGUUGGGAGAAAGGGAAGUAAGUUAAUACCUCGCUGUUUGACCGUAACCAAAAAAAUAGGCACCGCCUAACUUCUU